CAUGGUUCAUGCAAAUGAUCCGUGAAGGGAAAGCGGAAAUCUGAUGAGGAUCUUGAGACGUUACCCUCAAGAACUACAAUAUCCUUCACAUCAAGUCCCUUUCCACUCGAUACUUGGACUCAAAGACCAUCCACCAGGAUGCACGUCGAUCUCAGCAUCAUUCUCCGUGGAUGAGAAAGCCUACAGCCACCUUUCCAGGCGCCAGACACGCACACCCGUAAGGGCAGCACUCAAACUGAAAUCGUCCUCUCAACACUGGUCCCUGCCUCCUGCUGUCCAGUCUUUAAAGUGGGUCUCGCUUCAGUCAGCCGUGACACUAAUGAUACCACUGUAAGCACAGUAAGAUUUUGCAUUUUUUAAAGAAGUCUCUGAGAAAAGGUUUUCUUCUGGUUCUCUUGGGGUAGAGAAGCCAAGGUGCAGGAAAGCUGGCUGCCUUGUCUAAGGGCACCUGGCCAGACCUGACCUCAGGUCUCUAAUUCCUGAGGGCAAACUCAGAAGUUCAAGGAUGUGAGCUCCUGAGUCAGUAGAAACCAAAGGAUAGAGAUACUCUUAAGUCAUCUCCCAGUUUUGUUCCCCAGAUAUUUAAGGACCACAUCAUCGUAGCCCAGCCUCUCCUCAGAGGUCAUCCUUCCUUUAUAUCCUUACUGUGCAGAGAUAUUUAGUCUUCAUGUGGCAACCCUGAGGGAUUCUAGUAGCAUCAGCAUUUCUUACUGGCCUUUCACGCUGCUCCUAAGGAUUACUCUGAUUGUAAGAAGUAGAAGCGCAGGUCGCGUUUCCCUUGCAUGAGCCAGUCAGGCUCCUUUCAUUCAUUCUCCGUAAUUAUGGCCCAUGGACUAGGUGCCGGACAUGUGCUUGUGCUCUCUUCGCCGUGGACCACCUCUUCCCUGAGAAUUAGAGUCCUCUCUCUUUCCAGCUGCGUGCAUCCUAUCCUGUCCCGUAACUAGCAGAGACAUUCUCCCACUUUUCUAUAAACUCCCGUUAUUUCCAUUUAAAAUGGUUCUGUAAAGACAGCUAGACCCUGGCAGCUCUUGUGAGUUCUUUCUCUGCUGGAAGCAAGGUCUGGACUAGCCCCCAUUAAACCUAGUUUCCCUGUCUGCUUCCCAAGUGGGAUCCGAAAAGUGGGAGAGGCCCUUUGUGCGUGUGCCAGCCGGCGCCAGGAAGGAUGCCCAGAUGCCGGACAGACAGCUGUCACAAUCUAGGCAGCAAGAAGUAACUGAGGACUUUGCACCUGAGACAGCAGACAGGGCUCCUUGGGUGCUUCACACAGAAGGAGAAGCAGGGAAGCCGGCCAGACCUUGCUUUCAUCUUUGUCCUUCUUUCCAUGUUGCUGUUCUGGAGCUAUUCCUUCUGAUUCCCCUCUGUAAGACAUUAUUGGACUAACGAUCACUUAAUCACCCCCACUUAUUGUAGCUCCGCAGUUGGUCACGCCCCUCAGGAUCGUAAGCAGGCUUAUUUGGAAUUGCUGCUUCCGGUGCUCCGUAACCGUGGGGGGAAGAAGGGGUUCCCACCCCAGGUAACUCACAGAGGUUGUGUGUUUAUCAAAGAGAAAACAUUUUCCAAGCAUUUCAAAAUACGGUUAUAUACCUCGCUUAAUAGCCCAUGUCUGUGAGAGAAAAAGAAGUAGAAGCAACAGUUGGGACUGGGAAACUCUGCAUCUGCAGGAACCGAGUAGGUGCCGGGCUGUGUUUCUUCACUCUGAUGAGAUUUCCUUGAAUACAUGAAUUACGAUUGUGACUUCAGCUAAAUCUUAAAUGUGUAGCCCCUUUUUCUUUAAACCUGGUGAAAACUAAAGUAUCUGUACAAAGUUUGGGUUUAUUUACAGCUGUGUGAUACUCUCAGUGUUCAUCAGAGUGUACCCUGGCAAGGCGACCCUUCAGUUCUUCUGGGCUCUGAGAGAGCAGACCUGGGUAACAGAGGUUCCCAACCACUCAUUCAUGUAGGCUAGUGAGUUGAGCACUGAACUUACACCCAAAUAAUGUUUUUACUCUACCAGUGAUGGUAUAUACGUGUAUCCAGCUAUACAAGGGUUGUGUGUAACAUAAGUAUUUGGAUGAAGAAAUAUAUUGUUACUGUAGUACGUAAUUUUACACUGAGAAGAUCAGCUGGAUGUCAUGUUUUCUGAUUCCGGAUAACAACAAGGUGUUGGAGUUAUACCAUUUUUGCCAGCAGCUCUUUAGUGAUGACAGGAUUCCAUACCACAUCAGCUAUCCUUAAGCUAGUGUUUUUUUUAAUGAAGCAAUUCAAAUAGUGGCUGUGUCAGACCCAGAACUAUGAACCUGCCAUUGUAAGCAGUUCAGAGCAGACAUUAUGUACAACCAUCGAAGAUACUAGGAAAUGGGUCGAUAUUAUGGGUAGCAGCCUUUUAGCUAACCUGAGUGUGUGUAUAUGUGAGAUGAAGCAUUUUCAGUGUUUAGCUUACACUUAUUAUUUUUGUGGAUCACUAAAAGCAAAGUAAUGUGCCCAGUUUAUUGGCAUUUUGGGUGGUGAUAAGUGAGAGUCUCUGAAACCAUAUUUUUUACUUCAUCUGAUACUUUAUGGUUUAGUUUUUAAAUGACCGUUCGAGAGGAACGUCCCGCAAUCACUUUCUGAAUGCGCCUGUCGUGAGAUGAGAAGCCAUUGAACAGUGACAGGCCUCUCUCACGUGGGUCUCCGCAGAGCCUGUGCCAGUGCCCCAUGGGGUGGUCAGAAUUGAGUGAAAGGGAUGCCUUACCUGCCCCCAGUGGGCACCCUGUAGAACAGCCUGUGAAAAGGUAGGAGUGUUUUAUCUGUAUGUCUUGUGGGGAAAAGUAAUAAUGCACUUUAUCUCUCUUCAAGUACACUUUUAGCUUAAGUACCAUUUUGGUAGGUUCAGGGGAAUCUCUAAAAUUUACUUGGAAAUUGUUUUUAUGAAGGAGAGGAAAGUCAGUCCGUACAUUAGGGGCAUUUAAAAUACAUGGAAAGAAUUAUACAUUAUUCACAAUAUCCAAGAGGUGGAAGCAACCCAAAUUUCCACUGACGGAUGGACAAACAAAAUGUGGCAUUUACAUACAAUGGAAUAUUAUUCAGCCCUUAAAAGGAAGGAAAUUCUGACACAGGCUACAACAUGGAUGGACCUUGAGGACUGUGCUCAGUGAACUAAGCUAGGCACAAAAGGACCAGUACCGUGUGAUUCCGCUUAUCUGAGGUCCCUAAAGUGGUCAAUUCAAGGAGGUAGAAAGUAGGAUGUUGGUUGCCAGGGGCUGGGGGAGCAGGAAAGGGGAGUUAGCGUUUAAUGGGGACAGUUUCAGUUUUUCAGGAUGAAAAAGUUCUAGAGAUUUGGUUUACAAUAAUGUGAACGUACUUAACACUACUGAACUAUACGCUUAAAAUUGGUUAAAAUGGUAACUUUUUGUGGGGUUUUUUUCACAAUAAAAAAAAUUCUCCCUUCCCCUAAAAAAGAACUAUAUAACCAGUCCUCAAUUUUUCUCUUAAUUGAGAAAAAUAAAAUUGAAUGCCUCAGACAUUGAUUGAUAACUUGAGGCUGGGAAACCUUAGUCAUUCGGAGCUGGAACUACAAGCCUUCAGCUUCUCAUCUGUAAAAUCAAAGGGUUAUGCUGUAGUUUCUAAGGCUACUUCCAGUUCUAAAAUGCCAUGGUUCAACGUUUCACAUCAGUAUCUGUCCCCUUCUUGAUUAUUUGCAGAAAUACUGGUACAUUUUAGAGUAAAUUACUCUAUGCUCAGCUUCCCUUGACCAUUUUUCACCAAGAUCUUAACUUUCCAGAGUUUAGGCUAUAGGUGAGCAAAGGGGUACGCCAGCCGUGUAUUUAUGCCAUCGUAAAUUCCUAAAACUUCUCUUGGUCUAACCUUUCUGCUACGAGGAAAGUCAAAAGAUUGAAUUAUUUUAUUGAUGUUGCUUGCAGCUCUGCGGUUAGCCUUCCUUUCUGGUAGAAGCCAUGUUACGGGUACUAAAGCAUACCUCUGAGGAGAACACUUUCUUUCAGAGAAAAUGGAGUGGCAUUUGAAGAGCAAUAACGCGUGAGUGAUGGGAAUGCUCUCCCCAGUUCCUCCUCAGCGUUAAUGCUCUUUCUGUUUGAUUUGACUCCACCCUGCCCCCUGGCCCAUCUCAGUCACGUGAAACACAAACGCACUGUGUGCCUUGCAAUCCAUGCCCACAGUUUCUUUCCCUGUUUAUCAAGCACCCCCUCUAUGCCAUAUAAUUAUGAAUUGGUUUUGUAAGUUUUUCGGAGGCAGAGUUGGGGUGGAAUGCAGAGGUCUGUCCAGACCUCACAGAACUUCUCUCUGGCUUGGACUGUUUGGGAGCCAAGCCCACCCUUCCUGUUCUGGAUACCCUCUAUUCACUCAUUUCAUGGAACACAGCAUAGGUUUACUGGCAUAUCCCAGCAGUGCUUUCCCCUGUGCCUCUAUAGACCAGCUAAGAUUAGAUCCAAGGAUCAAUCUACAUAUUAAAAAAAUAGUACUAAAGCCGUCAGGCAAAGGAGAUUUCUGUGCUCCGUCUCGGACCUGGAUAAACAUCCUCAGGAAAUCAACAUGAAUUUAUAUACAACGACCAGAAAGAAUUGCCCCCUAAGUGAACCCUAUGUCUUUUGGGUAUAUGAAUCCUCUCAAUAUGAAUAAAAAAUUCCCCAGCCUCCUCAGAAGGUUUGAGAAAGCAGGGCAAUGAGAAGGGUUUGUUGAGUUUUAUAGCUUGGCCUGUGUAUGACAUUUAUUUUUUCAGCCUGUUCAAUAUAUAGUUCCUUUGCAGCUACAAAUAGACUUCUUCAUACAAGAAUUUAAACUAAUUUCCUCUCUGCUUUUUCUGGAAAUUCCUUUAUUUCCUCAAGUCUGGGACAAGAGUAUUUUCGCACAGUUGGCAUUCUUCUAGAAGAAAUGUCUCUUAGUUGGAGACCACCCAUCAAAUUUGCUUCAUUCCUCCAAGGUUGACACGCACAGAACAAGAUUCCACUUCCUAUCUAGAGGAAGCCUGUAUCACCCCUGCCUUUUUUUGUACACUAAUAGUUCUGCAUAUUUCAUGUUCACAAGAGCUCACAUAGUAGUGCCGUUUAUAGAAAACUUUGGCACGGGUUUCAUUUGGGAAUUUUUAUCAUGGUAUCUGUCAUUCUCCCAUCUAGUCUAGCAGAUGAGUCUCCUAGUCUAGUCUGCCAGAGCUGCUCACUCUUGAGUUCCUCGAAAAGCCUUUUUGUUGCUGAAACACCUAAAGUGGAAGCGGAUAUUAACAAUUCCGGAGCAGAAAGUACAUUGAUCUCAGGGGCAAGAGGUGAAUGUGCUCAUCUCAGCUCUGAUAGUAACUUGCCGUGUGAUCUUGGGCAGGUGGUUUGUUCGCCGUGUUUCCUCCAUCUGUAAAGGGAUGAUUUGAUAGAUUGGGGGGGGGGGGCGGUCCUCACCAGUGUCGAUUCGUCGCGCCCUCUCUGGGCACGGACUCCCUGUAUUACAUAAGCACUUUGAAUGCCUAACAGCAGCCUUGUGAGAAAGAUACUAGUAUCCUUGUGCGCUCGAUGAGGAAAUUCAGACUCGGCGUGUUUGAAUAAUUCUCCCAAGGAUGCACAGUUAGGAGAAGGAUGGGCCUGCAUCUGUUCUCACUUUUUAGCCAGUUCUCAGAAGAGGGGUCACCCUGGGUGGCCUUAUCUUCACAGAAGGUAAACAACACGUAGGAGAGGAGGAGGGAAGAUGUGUGUUCCUUUUUCUGAUGGUCCCUUUAGAGCUCUCAUUAGAAGGUAGCAGCUUCCCCUCUGUAGGCUCGUGAAUAGUUUAUUCCUAGGGACUGGUCUCCUUUAUCAUUUAUCAGAAAACUCUCUCACCCUCUCUGCCUUCAAAAGGAAAAAACAGUACAAAACCACAGUCUGAAAAUGGUAAAGUUCAGCUGCCUUAUUUAAGAAGUGCUUGCUCAGAAUUUCCCCAUAGAUCCAGGGUCAUAGAUCCAGGGUCACAGCUCCAAUUGCACUUUUCCUGACAAGCUAUCGCUGAAGUGCCCUUCAGCGGAAACCUUUUGAUGCCUUUACUGCCUGGCUUGUCGUUCAAGUCAUCAGAGUUAAUUCCAGUCGUGCUUAUGCAGAAGAUCUUCUCCCAAGCUGAUGGGGAAACAAUGCCACAUCUUCUAGGAAGGGUGACAGAGGGGCUCCCCCUGUUUAUGUCCAUUUGUGUUUCUGUCCCACGUCCUCCGAGGUGGCAGGGAGGUGAUGACGCCCAGCCCAGUAUGUGCAUAAGAACAUGUGCUCAUUUCCUGAGCACUGGAUAUCUGCAUUUGAUGGGUUUUACAAGCAUAUGUAUGAAGGGUGGUAUCACCUACGCUGUUGGAAAGAUUUAUUUUCUAAUUAUACAUCUAUCGGUCUAAAAACUGUUGUUUCAUUCAGAGACAUGAUUGGAGGUUUUGAGUGAGAAACACCUAAAUUUAAAUCCUAGCCCUUGUUAGGUAGCUCUCUAUCCUCAUUCAUGAUAUUUAAUCUCUCUUAAAACUUUAUCAUCAUUCGGUUUGUCUGCUGAAGCCCAAGGAAUACCAUUCAUAAGUUAAGGUUAGCUUUGUACUUGCUGUGUGUUUGAAAUACCGGAGCCAGAUGCUGUGUCAGAAACGUUCUCUCUUCCCCAAAUCUGGUAAUUAGGGUUGUCAUUUCGUAGAAUGGUUGGUUAUAAAUAAUCGAAAGGCUUUAAAAAUUCUCUCAGGUGUGGCACUGUAAUAAUCUUAGCUUUAUUAAGUAAUGCUGGUGCACAAUCAAAUCAGUAUUUUAAAUAUAUUCAUUUUCUUCGAGCAUUUCCACUUCACGCAGCCUAACAAGUACUUCUCUUUUCCUCGCCCCAAGUCUCAUCUCCUUAAUGUUGUAACAACACCACCGACCUGCAGUCCCAUGGACUCCCCUUCACAGUCUGUCACAACUUCGAGAUAUUAGCAUCACCAGAGAUCUGUGACCCAAUAGGCUUCAUCUGUAAAAGGUGAGGGAUUGGGUGCACUGCUUUCCAACAUCCUAAUAGCACAAGACUUCUCUUCACGAAUCUGCUGUAUUUAACAAACCUAAGUUUAACUGCCUUGUGGAGGUUGGGUUGGGGGUUUCUUUCAUGGAGUUAUCGCACUCACUUAGACGAGCGCGUCCCAGAACUGCCUGCAGAGUCAUGGAUGUGCCGUCGGAGCCCAGUGCGCACCCAUCACUGAACGCCGGCCGGCCAGGGAGCCAGCACAGCCAGGGUCUGCUCCCGGCCCCGGCCAGCUGGCGGGCGAUCGUCGAUGCCAGCUCCCCACGGGUGUGGAGGGGUGCCCCGUGCCUCCGAGGCCCCCUUUCAGGCCUGACGUUUUCUGAUUCUGAAAAUAAUUGACGAUGAUUGUUAGAUCCCAGAAACAUACUUGUGAAUGUUGGAUUUUGACCAAGGGUGAGGCGUGUCUCUGAUCCUCUGCAUUUACUGAAUUCACUUUAAAAGGAAAGCUUGGCUGCCGGGAUGUCACAGGCAGCCUGUCGCCUUGAGCAUGGGGAGUGACUGGUGGCGUAAGCUGAGUUAUGCAGCGGUGGUUCUCUGCUGGCAGCCCCGGCUGCGGGGCCAAUUCCAGACAAGCCCUUGGCUACACUUUGUAGAAGCUUUUAACCCCCGGUGAUGGCAGGGAUGUUGCAUGGAUCACGGCGGCUUCCGGGGACCUGUGAGCUGUGACAGAAGCUGCCCUUUCACACAGGUGACAGGUCGUGGAUGCCUCAUUACCAAUGAGAUUUCUUCACUGGGACUCGACAGACCUUCCAAGAAGGAGUGGGAUGAGGAAGGGAGACCGGGGGAAAAGAGCCAGAAUCCGUUGUCCUGCGGCUUCGAUCCAGGUUCUGUCUCCGCUGGGCCAAACUCAGCACUUGCUUUUUUCAGUAACUCUCAGCUGUUAUUUAAAGUUUGCAGCUGUCUGUAUAGCUGUCCACGUUUUUCUUAAUAUUACGUAUUUUUCUUACUGGAAAUACUUUUUAAACGGAGCCCAUUUUUCCCUACAGGCCAGUGCCCGUCCUUUUUUCUCUCCUGGGCAGUUCAGGGAACCGCUAGGAAGCGGCGUGGCCCCGUGGGUUUCUGGGCCCUGCGAAGCCUGCCCCACUGCAGCCACAUCGCGGCUUCAGGACCAGGAGCCGGUGAGCUCGUUGGGCUGAGCACAGGGUGCUCGGGGCUGGAUGCGGGGCCAGCGCGGCGCAGGACACCCAGCGCCCCGCCAGGGAGCUCCUUCCCCGCCCGCCAGCUGCCGAGGGCAGGCCUGCCGCGCCCUUGCUCCCCUCUCCUGCCACUGAAACCUGUUGUCCUCGGGGCCACCAGAGCACUCAGGUGUUAACUCCUCAGCAUUUCCUGCAGGGCUUUGCCAGGGCCUCUGACUUCCCGGGGAGGCGGGUUGUCUUCUGUGCCCCGAGCUGCCCCCGACCCCGCAGCGUGGUCAGCGCCCAAGCCUUUGCUCUCGACACGUGGGCCUCGCUGUCACGCAGGUCGACCCUCCCAAGUGCUUCUCAGUGGCUUAGGUAGAACGGUGAAGACUGAAUUCCAAGGGGCAGUUUCUGUAUUAAUGUUUUUCACACACCGGGAAAAGUUUAUCCACCAGAAAGAACUGGGGGCACUCACUCACUCUCAGUGAAAGGGGUUUCCAAGGCUACAAGAGUAUAUCUAAAUCAAAUUUUAUAGCAUUCAUUUUAUUAAAAUGCAGCUGAAGGACCGUGCUGUGAGGCAAUGCAGUGCGGUCACGGAGGCCUCAGCUCACAUGCUGCCGGGGCAGGCUCAGAGUCAAGGAGGGGCUGUGAGGCGCCCACCGCCCCUGACUCCUGACCCCCUGUCCCCGUGCCCUGCCACGUCAGGUGCACACACAGAGGGAUGAGGUGCAGACCCCGAGCCCUCGGAGCUCGUGCAGCUUUACUGCUGGAGGGAUCUGGAAGGCAGGUACUACCUCUGGCGGCAGUAAGCGUUCGCAGGGAGGUGAGCAGAUGUCUGUAAAGGGCUUAGGUCUGGCCAGAGAAGUGACUCAGGGAAGAGCGUGUAUGCCUGUCCAGACCUGUGCGCAUGGGGCCCUCGAGGCUCUGCGUGAGAAUCCCUGGCAUUCAGCCGUCCUGUGGCCUCCCAGGCUUUGCUUCCCAGAUGGACGAGGGUUGUGUGUGCCCUUUCCUAGUGCCUCAUAGAGCCCUUUCACACAGCAGGUGACGGGGGUUUUGUUUAACUCUGUUUUCCUUCAGAAAUGCAACUGCUGUCUCAAAAGCAUAGGCCCCGUAUCGCCGAGUCAGUUAGUCUCUUUGUGUCCGUAUCGCCGAGUCAGUUAGUCUCUUUGUGUCCAUAUCGCUGAGUCAGGUAGUCUCUUUGUGUCCGUAUUCUUCUCAGAGGUAGUUCACCACACCUCCUCCUCGAAACUGUAUUUGGUCCUGUCUUUUCCUGCAGACUGUUGCCCUCUGUGUCUAGUAGAUGCUUGAACUUAGGUGUCUUACCAGCACAUGAAACCCAUCAGAACCAAACCAUGACCAGUGACCUUGUGUUCCUCUUAAACGAAGUUUCCUUCACAAAUUCCCGGUACCUCCAUUCUCUCAGGACUCAGGCUCAAAUCUCCCUCUGCCCUUCACAGGGAGAAUGGAACCUGGGCUGUUCAUGUCAUCCCCUGAAAAUAAAUCCAAGACUGUUCUCAGUCCUACAAAACGGGAUACCUGGGAAUGUUAAAAUAUAUUCCAAAGCACUGCCCUGAAGGCCGACUGUUUCUGCAGGUCCUGGCCUGGUGUGCGCCCCUCACGUGCACAGUCGGGGCCGUUGAGCUGCGUCAGUGCGUCUUGGCCCCCAGCUCCUCCUGAGUACCUUCUACGCCUACCUCAUCGUGAGUCACCAGUGAGCACCUUUUUGACGUCGGACUUCACUUGAGGUUCUGUUAGAUAUUCCUGAGCAGGUGCUCAUCUGCUGAGAUAGCCUCACUUCUAGCGUGGAAGCACCUUGGUGUCGUGGCAGCCUGACUUCCCACGGCACUUGCGGUGCCUCGAUGCGUAUUGACAGGCUCAGCUCUAACUGCUUGUGUCAAAGCACUUUGGGAGGCUCAGCAGCCUUGUGCUUUUUUUUUUUUUUUUUUGCGGUACGCAGGCCUCUCACUGUCGUGGCCUCUCCUGUUGUGGAGCACAGGCUCCGGACGCGCAGACCCAGCGGCCAUGGCUCAUGGGCCCAGCCGCUCAGCAGCACGUGGGAUCUUCCCGGACCGGGGCACGAACCCGCGUCCCCUGUAUCGGCAGGCAGACUCCCAACCACUGCACCACCAGGGAAGCCCACUUGUGCUUCUGUAAUUGACAUCAAUAAUGUGUUUGCAUUUAUCAGUAUUUCCUAAUUGCCAAGUUAUAACAGUGGAGCUUCUGUGAUAAAUCGUCUCUACAGAUAUCUUCAGACAUUAGGGCUUAAGGUUCCUGUCAAUAUUUUGAUGUGCUAUAAAUUGUUUUUAUGAGGACUUUUUUCCUGUAAGAAAGGAGGAACUGUGCAGCGGGAGACAGAAUUGAGUCAGUGUGUCACCAUAUAAACUUAAGUUAAAGAGCCACAUCCCUCCAGUGAAAACAGAAGGAAGUGAUGUACAGGCCAGUGCAGUACAUUCCCGUAAAGUGCAGCGUCACCAUCCGCAUGAAUGCUAAUGUGUCUCCCCGGAGGGUGAUAUACUGUGCCAGGGCCCUGGACCAAAGGAUAGUGAAUAUUCCUACGAAGAAGGAAAUGUUAUCAACUCAUUUUUCAGAAGAGGAAACUUGCUCAAGUCAAAGGGUGACUUUGCGAGGCUAGGUCUCACACCCAGGGCUGUUGGAGUCUAUGGCUGGACUCUUGACCCUACAGGGACAAACUCGACCAAACCCAAAGAGAGGGAGACCCAGGUGUUGAAGGACUGACUCCACAGUAUCUGUUACACAGUUGAAGGCUCUAGAAUGUCUGGCUUGGAAAAGAGAUGAACGUGGAAGGCUCUGGAGGUCUGUCCUCUCGUCACCUGCAGGGGGCGGUUAGCCCCCGGGUCUGUGCAUCCGGAUGGCAGCGGUGAGGCCAGUCCUCUGACCUGGCGAGACGAGGCUUUGUGGAGCAGUUACAGGUGUGACUCAGCAGCCACACUGUUCCCAGCAAAUCCCUGCCCAGCCACUCACCAGCUGCCGCCCUUGGGCAAGUCGCUUGGCCGCUCUUUGUCCCAAUUUCCUCAGCCAAGAUGGCAGUGAUGGCAGCACCUGCCUAAUAAGGCUGUCGUGAGGAUUCAGUGAGUUAACAUGUGGAAAGUGCUUACGAUGCUGCUUGGCACGUAGUGUGAUAUAAGGGUUUGCUGUUGUUUCAGUAUAAAGCCAGACUAGGCGUGCGGAAGAGUUCUCUAAAAAAAUCAGUCAACGUUUGUCCGUUAUUUCUGCCACUCUGUAUGUACUAGACACUGUUCUGGACACUGUUCUAGACACGAGGAUACAGUGACGGUAAGACAGCGCUCGUCCCUGCCCCGCCCUUGCGCAGCCUACAUUCUGCAUUAGAGAGGAAGGAAGUUACCCUGUGAAUCACGAAACAGCCGAUGAGCACAUGAACGAGCCGCUUCUGAGAGAUGAGCCCCAGCCCUUCCCCUGGUAGCACUGAAGAGGUCAGGCAGAGGCUGCCUGGGGUCCUUAUGAGCGGGGCUGCCUACUGUGGGUUUUUAUAGUGUCCCUAACAUCCCUCUGCAGAGGAGGGUUAAUUUAAGGCACCCAGUGAUUAAGACACCAACAUGAAUGCCGCUGUGCUUUAGAACUGCCAUCCUCUGGAUCACCAUGGUGAGCGGGUGCAUCUCAGGAAUUAGGCAGGACAAGCCUUUGCGGUACAAGCAGGAAGUACAGAGCUUCUGCCCAGAUUUUGUAUCUCAUCUUUCAAAGUGCCUCUACUCUUGGACGUAUUUUUAACUGCAUAAUUUGGUAGCACAGGAGCACAUGUUGAUGAUUUAUAAAUAACUAUAAACAUACACUAAGGUUGCAUGUGUAAACAUCCUUUGCUAAUGAGGUGAACAAUUUAAAAAGCUUAAGUUGUACCAGAAUACUUGAGCAUGUUACCCCUGAAGGGCCAGACCCUGCCUUUGGGUCCCCCUCCCUGCGCCCAGCCAACUCCACCAUCCUCACCCCAGUCCUUUUCAGCUGGAAGUGACUGCACUUUAAAUGGCAUUCACUUACAGGCCUUGUGGGAAGCGAACUCCAAGACUCUCAGCAAAGGAAACAGGCUGACUUUGAGUCUCUGAAGAGGUGGAUUAUAAUAAACUCAUUCAUCACCUUUGCCCGUCUCAGGCUUCCGUGAUCACCUGUGCAUCUUGACUCAGGUGGCUUCCUGGUUUCUUAGUGUUGGCGGGGGGCGGGGGGCAUCAACACUUCUUUGCAUGUUAAAAAUCUCCUUUAAUUUCGUAACACCUGUAAUAUUUACUGACAACAUUGAUGAGGUUUGCAAAUUUCACUUUGAAGAAGUUCAUUAUGCACCCUUCUAGAUGUGUGCUCCAUUCAGAUGCCUUGGGAGGAACCUAAGACAGCUUAUGGGCUAACGUUAAAACUCGUCUUUCAGGCAUGUUUUCUCUGAAAUGAAAAGUAGUGUCUCGUUUUUCUCUGGAUGGUGUUCUCCUUUUCUUUUUUUUUUUUUUUUUUUGGCCGCGCCACAUGGCAUGUGGGAUCUUAGUUCCCCCACCAGGGAUAGAACCCACAUCCCCCGCGUUAGAAGCGCGGAGUCUUAACAACUGGACUGCCAGGGAAGUCCUGGAUGGUUUUCUCCUUUAAAAAAUUAUUAUCUUACUUGAACUUAAGCAGCUUAUGUAAGAGAAUGAAUAUUUUGCCCUUUCCUUCAUUUCACCAAUGUUGACAUUAAGUUGCAGGCAUAACUCUACCUCUAUAGGUGUCAGUUGGAUGUCUUCUUAGAACAAGGACGUGCUUCUUGCCUUCUCACAGUUCCGUUUUCACACCUCAGAAUUGAGCAUCAGUGUGUGCUGGCCGAUACCGCAGUCCAUCUUCACGUCUCCAGCUGUCCCACCUUUCACAGUUGUUUCUAAUCCAGAAUCUGUUUAAGGAUCAAGUGUUGCAUUCCGUAGUCACGUCCCUUAAGUCUCCUUGAAUGUAGAAGAGGCCCUCUGCCUUUUUUUUUCAACUUUCAUGAUAUUGGCCUAUUUAGUCUAGACUGUUGGCCAGUCUGAAUCAGUCAGAGUAUAUCGGAAUAAACCCUUGGGCAGGAACCCUGAGUGGGUAAUAAGGCCUCCUCCCUUUCCACCCCAUCAGGCGCCCAUAAUGUCGGUGGUACCAUUAUUGGUUUGUGCUCAGUUUGAUCCUUUAUUAAAGUGGAGGCGAGAUAUUUCCAUUAUAAACAUCCCGUUUCUCUUUGUGAUUAAUAAGUAAACUGUUCCCCAACAGCCUUAUGCCCAGUGGUUUUCAGACCCAUUAAUGCACCUUGCCUUAUUUACUUAGUCGUUGCACAAUGGUGAUUUUUCUAAUUCUCUUAUAACCUUGUUGGCUUCUGCAUAUCACUCGGGGGCCGUUUUUUGUUGUUUUUUUUUUUAAUAAUAAUUUCCUUGCUUUUUUUUUUUUUUUUUUUUUUGCGGUACGCAGGCCUCUCACCGUUGUGGCCUCUCCCGUUGUGGAGCACAGGCUCUGGACGCGCAGGCUCAGCGGCCAUGGCUCAUGGGCCAGCUGCUCCACGGCACGUGGGAUCUUCCCGGACCGGGGCACGAACCCAUGUCUCCUGCAUCAGCAGGCGGACUCUCAACCACUGCGCCACCAGGGAAGCCCGGGGGCCGUUUUUAAUGACAGUAAGCCUAAAUUACAGUCAGGUAUAUUUCUCACUAAUCUGUCUUAAUUCUCCCAGUUUAACAAACUCAUGAUCUUAGCCCAAGACUGUGAAUACUCCCUACUAACCCACUCUGAGGGUUUUAUCUUGGAGGUACAUUCUACCCAGAGAGUCACAUGGCUCCACUGUUUCCACUAGAGGCUUGGGGGGUCGGUCUGAUAGCAGAAGGACUUCAGGUUGCUUCCAUGAACUGCCUGCUGGCAGCCAUUCAGCCUGCUUGGACCAUGGACAUGAACGAAAUGAAGCUGUAUCAAUAGGUUCACCUUUAUAGCACCCUUGGGGAGCACAGCUGCACUCUGGGUUUACAGCUUCUUUUCACCUAACGUAUGGUGAACAUUCCCCAUGUGACUCAAUUCUCUUUUGCCUCAGGAUUUUUUUUAUGGCUUCCAGUAUUUUAUUGUAGAGCUUACCAUGAUUUGUUUAUCUACCAAAUGUUGAAAAUUAUUUGGUUUCCUUUUUUUUCCCCUCCUAUUAGAGACAGUGUGGCCAUAAAUAUCUUUUUUUUUCAUAAAUAUCUUUAUGUACAUUCCUGACUGGUUUUCUUAAGACAAAUUCCUAAAAUUAAAAUUACUGGGUUAAAAUAUAUGUGUGUGUUUAAGGUAUACGAGGCAGGUUUUAAACACAGUGCCUUAUAUCUGGUAUCACCCUUCCCCCAGAAACGUGUCCACCUGUACAGACGAAGUUUUACUUAAGGUGUCUGGGUCUCAGGAAGCCAUGGGCUCAGGUUCAGAAGCUUCAGGCUGCAAGACUGAAAUCCGAAAAUUACCCAGGACCACACUCUUCAGGCAGCUCUCUCUGGCUUCCUCUGAUUACUCAAGUCUGCAGUUUCAAACACAGUUUUAAUUCUAAUAAGUACUUGUGAGACUACUAAGAGCUUUUCCAUUACUUGUUGAUAAAAAUAUUUAUGAUCUCAUCUUGGAUUUUCAUUUUUCAAGAAUAGAGCUGGAAUCAGUCCGCAGCACACAGUGAGCCCUCCCCCUCUCACAGUGGAUGAUUCACACGUUUGUGCUCCUGUAACUGAAACAGCAGUGACGGCAGGGUUACAGCAAUUUUUAGAAUUGCAUUUGGGGUUUGAAUUCUCCCUGAUCAGACACAUCGAUUCAGGCGUUCUAAUUUAACUUAUCUGUAAUUAGGAAAACUGAUUUUAGGACCUCUCACUGACCAAGCCACAGCUCUGAUAGAUCUUUUCCAUUUAAGACCUUAGAGUAUACCGUGAUACAGGACCCUAGAUUUUACUCUUGGGACCCUAACCCAGGAACAUCCCCAGUGGGAACUGCAGCCCAGACAUUUUUUUUUUAGUCUUUCUUUCAGCUUGGAUAGAACAUAUUUGCCGGUAAAUUCUCUGGAGCCUUUACUGAGGAAAAGAUUGGGAUUUUGAGGUUACUUAAAUCCACAGCUGUCCUUCUGCCUCGCCAUUAAGACAUAAGAAUUUUAACUUCCACUGUCUGCUUCAUUUCCUCCAAGUACUCAUUUUGGAGCAGCUGAGACAUGGCACAGAGGGGUUUUUUUUUUACUGCAUUAUGUCCCAGAAAAGAGUCUGACCCAGAAUGCUUCCAAAGGUGUCAGAGGAAGAUGACUGACUUAAAAUGAUGUUUUCUGGAAUUCGAUGUUUUCGGUCACAUGAGAAGUGGUCAAGUUAUCAUACUGUGUGUACGUGCAUGUGUGUGUUUACGUGUGUAUAUUUGCAGGAGUGAGGUAAUUUUAAUUAAACAAAUAACAUUCCAUUAAAUUUUCAGUGUCAGAGAUUACAGAGCCUUCACAUUCAGCUGAUUGCUCAUUAAGAUAGUUCAGAACAGGGAUGGCAGUACUACAGAUAGAUACCAAAUGAAUUUUCUUCUAAAUGGACUUUUCCUAAGUAGAGUUACAUUGUGCUAAGAUACAUCUAUAUAUGAGGAAAGCAUUUAAAGUCACAGCUAUUUAAAAAUGUUGAGCGUUCAUAGUUUGAGCCAAACUGUUAAAAAAAAAACUCAAGGAAAUCAAUUACUUUGAGUCAAUUCAGGAAUUUACUGCAACUCCACUACUAUUUAUUCCAUGUGCUUAGUGUAAUACUUCAUAAUUCCAAGAUAAACUCCGAACCGAUUCCAGGAAAAUCCUAUGAAAAAAUUAAAGCAAGGAAGAGUGUGAUCCCUCCGUGUGGGAUCUGAGGCGCAUUAGAAAGCCGGAGACUGAACUCGAAUCUGAUGCUGCUGUUAACUCUCAGAGGACCUUGGAAACAUCAUGUAGGCGCUCUUUGCUUCUGUCUAGUAAGUGGCGAUGUCAGUAUCAGUCUACUUUUCUAGCCCAGAAAAAACAUUCUUUGGGUCAGAUCAACUUCUGUUGUAUAAAGAAUUCUUGAACACAGUAGCACUAUGAUGAAAAUCCCUCGAUUGGGGGACAACAGUGAUUAGAUUCAUAGAUUAAAUGAAGGAAGUAUUGAUUUCUUAGGUAGAUGAUUUAGGCACCUUUGUGGGUUUUUUCUUUUUUGUGCUUUUUGAGUUCUCUGUACUAUCACCACUAACCAUUGUAGACAAAUUUAAAAUCUUUUUAAGGAAAGUUGCAAUCAUCAACAGAAUUGAGUUAUAAGUAGCACUUUGGUUUGCUCUGUCCGAGGUACUGUACAGAGUAAUGUACAGUUUUGUGGUCCCUAACGCCUAGGGCGUUACAGUCAACGUACAUUCAUGUCAAAAUAUAGGGGCUUGUUGGUCCUGACACAGCUGUGAUCGAGGAGGGACUGUUCAAGUCAGAAGAUCUGCUUUCAAAUCCUAGGUUGUGAUCUUAGGCUACCUACUUAAUUUCUCUUUAAUUUAACCCAGUAAAAAUGAGGCUGCUGAGAUUGAGAUGGGGUAAUAAUGUUUCAUAAUCUAAAAAGCGAGAGUCAAGUGAUAAUUACACGUAAUAGGUCGCUGGAAAACUGUAAAAUGAACGAGUUCUAAUAAUGAUAAUAAAUCACAUUUAUUGAGCACUUAUUUUGUACCAAGCUCUAUGCUAAAUGUUUACGUGCACUGGUUCAUUUAGCCUUCCAACCAACACUAUGAAACUACAGUUUAGAGCAGUUAAUUAACAUGCCCGCUGUCACCCUUACAAGUAAGGAGGGCAGGAUCCACACUCAGAGCCUAGCUCUUAAGCACCAGUUGGAAUGAUUUUCAGUAUCAUAUGUUAAGAUGAAGGGGAACAGAAAACACAACCAAGAAGCCCCUUGUGAUUUACUAGUUAGAUAACUUGGGGUGUUCUCUGUCUUUUUUUUUUUCCCCAAAAUUUACAUUGAUUUACUGGUCAUUUUUUAAUCAAGGUAAUACACUCUCAAGAUAAAAAACUUAAAGGCAGAAAGAAAGUUGUUCUCCUCACCCUCCUCUCCUGGCUCUGAAGCUCACUUUCCACAGUAAGAUUCCUAUGUGGCCUUCCAGUAAUCCCCUGUGCAGUUAGAGGUAGAGUGUGUGUGGCUGUGGACAUGGAUGUGUGCACUCUUUUUUAUUCAACACAGAUGAUGUUACACUAUAAAUACUCCUUGAUAGCCUCUUUUUUCCCACUUAACACAAUAUAGCUUAUAAAAUACAUUGUCACAUAUCAGAACACGUUUUUCUUUUUUUUUUUUUUUUUUUUUUUUUUUUUGCGGUACGCGGGCCUCUCACUGCUGUGGCCUCUCCCGUUGAGGAGCACAGGCUCCAGACGCGCAGGCUUAGCAGCCAUGGCUCACGGGCCCAGCCGCUCCGUGGCAUGUGGGAUCUUCCCGGACCAGGGCACAAACCCGUGUCCCCUGCAUCGGCAGGCAGACUCUCAACCACUACGCCACCAGGGAAGCCCACGUUUUUCUUUUUUAACAGCUGAAUAGUAUUCCACAAUAUGGAUAUGUUGUCAUUUAACUAACUGGUCCCCUGCUGGUGGACACUGACAUUGGUCUCAGCUUUUUGCCAUCAUGAGCAGGGCAGGAGUGGACAUCCCGGCACCUGUGUCUUUGGUUAGGAUAAAGUCAGGGGGUGUGAGCGCUGAAAAUGUAGACCUGCAUCCCCACGCUGCCGAGCAGCUCACCAUCCCAGCGGCCCUGUCCUCGCCCUCACCCUUCAGCCCUGAGAAUAUCAAACAUUUUCAUUUUUAGCAAUCCAGUUUGUGAAAGAUGGUAUCUCUUUAGUUAUGGGUCAGGCUGGGGAUAUUUUAUGUAUAUUAGCCAUGUGUUUUUCUUUUCUAUAUUAAUCACUGUCUUAUUAUUUCUUGUUGUAUUUGUCACACGUAUAUUUCCCUCAUUUGUCAUUUAUUUUUUAGCCUUGUUUACCACGUUUUUCAUACAGAAGAUUUUAAUUUUUGUAUCGUUGCAUUCUAUUUCAUUGCCUUUGAAUUUUAUAUCAUGCUGAAGUCCCAAUCCAAGAUUUUUUUAAUUCUCUUAUAUUUUCUUCUGGUGCUUUUAUAGAUGCUCUUCUAUGUUUAAUUCUUGAUGCACUUAGAAUUUAUCUUGGCAUAGGAACAGACUUUGUCCAAAAUGAUAACCCCUUAUCCCAGUGCCGUUUAUUGAAUAAGUAGACGGUUUUGUCUUCAUGGAACUUACCAGGCCAGAAAACCCUCUCUCCCUCCUUUUACCUCAUAAAGAAGCAGUUACCGGUUCCACUUUGGCUCAGGCCCGGUUUCCUCCUCUGGAGCCCUGCCGACCCUGCUGCUUCAGGCGUCCCCUGAACCUCCUAGAACCUCCCCUCCCUCUCCCCUUAAGACCGUCCAGCCUCCCACCUCCAGAAUACCCUUGACUUCCUUGCUCCCCGCCAGCUCUUCCCCUUCCUUCUGCAGGUCCCUCGCUCUCACGGCUCCACCUGCCCCCCGCCCCCCGCCAGGCUGGAUCCCAGCGGGGCUGGAGCAGCUCACGCAGAGCCCCAGGUUCCUAACAGCCAGGAGCCCCUUCCCUGCCCGCAUCCCGGCCUCUCAGCGGCAUCCAACCACUCUGACUGGCGCUCCUCGGGAGCUCCCCCACGGCGUCCAUCCCCACCCCCUCCCCUCCCGUCCUGUGGUUCUGGCUCUCCACCUCUGUCCCUCGGGAACAGGCCCCACUCUUCCUGAGGAUCGCGCCUCUCAGGUGUGUCUCCAGUCGUUACAUCCCACCUGAGCACAGGCGGUGAAACCAAGGGAGCCUGUGGUCGCAGCCGCUGCUGACCAGCCUGUGGUCCGUAGGAGGCCCCUUCCCGUCUCCCAGCCUCCACGUGGCUCUGUCUCCUGCUGGACCCUGGGUUUUCAUGGGCAGAGACUAGAUACUAGCAUAUUUCGUAUUAGACUAGAUUUUGCCUUUUUGAGGGCCCUCUUUGCGUCAAGUAUUAGACUGUGGACUUUAGCUCAUGUCUGACAAAGGAGGUGUGUGUUGGUAUUCAUUUUUUACUUCGACCCAGAGCUAUUCGAAACCAAAACCCAUCCCUUCCCAAUAAAUGUCGGUAUGUCUCCAGAAGCUUAGACCAUCUGAAAGACAACCUGUGUUCUAGGAAAACACCCUUUGCGGCCGUUUUGGAUGCCCGGGCCCUCUCCCUCCGCCAGGCCUGCUCCGUGGCUCAGUCAGCCCCUUUGUGCCAGGCUUUCCCAGGACUUAGGAACCCAGGGGUGAUCGGACAGACUCAGCCUCAAGGGGCUGCUGUAGGAGACUGUUGUAAUGAGGGGACACACGGCAGGAGGGGGAGGAGGGGCACGGCUCCCAGAAGCACCAGGCAAGGAGCAGGUGGGAGCUGCCCGGUGAAGGCAGGGCCCCCCGUGCUGAGAGGGGGCUUCGGAGAUGAGCCUGCGCUUGGGCUUUGCUCUGAGGGAGGGGCCCCUGGAGGGUUAGCUGGAGCUGGGGCACGACCGCAGUUCUUCUUCGGCACUUGCGCAGCUCCCUGCUUCUCUGCUGAUAUCUGCGCUGACCCUCUGUUUAUUGCCCUUUGGAAGCACCUGGGGAGCAAAGGCUGUUUCUUUACCCCGAGAACUUAAACAGGGCCUGGUCCACAGCAGAUGCCCAUCAGGGUUUGGUGGGUGAAUGAGUGUGUUAGAAUGCAGGGAAUAUGACCAAAGGGUCUCCUUUUCCUUAAAAAAAAAAAAAAAACAUGAACUCAAGAGUUAUUUAUAUCUUAUUUUCUUUAGAGAACCAGAUCCAUUUUCCAAACACCAGAUGGCUUAAAUUAGCUUAUUAAAAUGGUAAUAAGGUUGAUCUUUAUGAAAUAUAGGCAAGUCCUUUUUGUUUUUGUAGGGUUUUUACAGCAUCUCCACAGAGUGAAAUCAAGCCUUAAUAGAAGCAUGAACACCAGGUUAAUAUCUAUUGCCUUCUAAAGGGGAAAGAUAAAGCUUUCUUUCCUUUAAAGAGAAAAGGAAAGAGGGGAGACUCUCCAGUUAUCAUUUUGAACCCUUUAUGAUGAAUUGACACGCCACUCACCAUUUGUAUCCUGCUUUAGUUUUUGGAAUUUGUUUAUCUUAAUACGCAGCACCAAUAAUGUGGACAUUUAAGAAUAUACAUGAAAAAGCAUUUGUCUUCGCUUCAGGCCAGUCUGAGACAAGAAAAUGGACUAGAUUACCCCCUUAGUACCUUCUGUAAAAGCUUCUGAUACAUAAGUAAAUAAGACUUUUGGUUCUUAUUAUUCUUAACCACUCAAGCAGAGCUUUAAACAAGAUCCAGCCUUUCUUAUUUAGUUGCCAGAUUUGUUUUCCUGCCUCUUCUGUUUAUUUCUUCCCACAGAGUCAAAAGAUGAGAAAUGACCACUUCUAACCACAUACUUAAUUUAGCGGCUCUGAGGGGGAAGAGAGGGCUGUGAGGGAGAGAGAAGUGAGCUCUGAUGUGCAACGCGGCACAGGAGACUAUACAGGCUUAGCAGUUACUCAGCCUAGGCAUAUUCUCCAGAAACUUCAGCAACCAGGAUCUCUUAGGAUUAUUAUAUUAGUACAUGUUGAUCCCUUUUGAUGCAAAACCUUUCUUUGCUAUAUAAUGGUUCCAAAUAUAAUAAUAAUAACAACAAGAAUAAUAAUAAUCGCCACCAUUUGUUCUGUGUCUUAUAUGCCUGUGUAGCCUGUUUUCACUAAGGUUAAAAAGGAAUGACGCAUGCCACCCAGAGCUGCAGACCCCGCAGUUAAGCGUUUAGGAUUCCUGCCCAAGGGCAGAUGAGAUUGCUGUGCAGGGGUGGAAAGCAUAGGGAGCCUCUCAUCGGUACGUCACAGGAAAGGGCGGAAGCUACACAGCAGCAUAUUUUAUUUUCUCUUUCCUGCAGCCAUUAGCCCAUAAGCUCUGGAUUACCAGAUAGAGACCCAAUUCCUAGACACCUUCCUAAAAGUCAGGGUACACCAGCUGUGAGUCAUCUUUUUCCACGCAGAGACUAAGCCAGGGAGAAAGAGAGGAAGAGAAGCCUUUAAUUCUGAACUAACGUGUCCUAGGCACUCACCCUUCAAGUCUAAGAUUUAUGCUUUCAUUAUAGUUUCUACAACUGUGUGUGGCAAAUGCUAGAUUAUAAAAAUAAAGCAUACGUGCAGACUAAAUCUUUUUACAAUAAAAAUCUCUCUAUAACAUAAAAUAUUCACCCCUCUCAGGUCAUGGCUUCCUUGAAAAUUGAUGCAUUUCAACUAAAGAGUAUAGAAGGUCCAUUGAUGUCAAGCAAAAUGCGACCUGACUAGUAAUUUAAGGUGUCACACGGCCACACUGGUUACUGUGCUCUACACACAAUUGAAAGAAGAACCUAAACUGAGAUUCUUCAAUGGGGUCACAUCUCUAAAAUACACACGCUCGGCUUGUAGUUACGAGCACCUCGACGUCCUAGGCAGACCUGCGGCUCCAAACCACUGUCAGGACGAAAGAGACGGGCGCGGCGUGCCUCCGAAGUGUCGGUUGCUGUUUAAUAUCCGGGCGCUCACGGCCAUGGACAAGUUCAUCUCCGAGUUAGUGCUCGCUUCAGUAAUCUUAUACAUGCAGUCAUUGAAACUUGAAAAUGGACUUUUGCUAAACAUUUAAGCAUUGAUUAAAAGCUUAAUUAUAUUUCCUCAACCAAUUUAAAAACCAGUUACUAAUCUCAUAUAGUGGCUUCUCUUAAACUCUCCAAACACCUUAAAAAGUAGCUAAAACAACACAGAAAUCGUCAUUACAAAACCAAUUACUACAUUUACACCUAAACCUGUUCUAAAAUAUCAACAGUUUUGGUUUAACUCAAGUCUUCAUUAUUUCUACACAGCAUCCUAGGGUUUCAGAAUGUCACAUUAAUUAAUACCUUUCUCAGUUUUAAUAGUAAAAGGAAUACCUGAGCUUACAUUACCUGAUGCCCGGUCAGAGCACUGGUCACCAAUCUGAGCUGCCCUGUUGUGGGUAAAGUUCACUUGUGUCUUCAGUGUGACUGUGUGUGUACGUGUUUCUGUGUUUCUUUGUUCAGUGGGAAUGCUGUUAGCAACAGGGAACCAAGAGGACCCACGUGAAGAAAGAAAUGUUCUCUUGGAGAUGCCAGCAUCCUAUCUUCUAGGUAUGUCCAGCAAACAGGUGAAAAUGCAGACCUAGAGCUCAGAGGCCACGUGGGGCAGGAGGCCUGAGUUUGGAAGGCACCUGCUAAGAGGUGAAAGCCUGAUCCCGGGCCAUGUUGCCCAGAGGGAGCAAGCAGAGACGAGAGACCAGGAGGGGCAUGCAGAGGAGUUUCAGGGCGUGCUGUGCGCCUGUGUCCGGUACUCAGAGCUCAGCAGGAGGCCUUCUGGGAAGAGGCGGGCGGGAGGCCAUUCGUAACUCCAAGGUCAGCCUCAUGGGAGAGAACGGAAUUGGCAGAGCGAGCUAGUGGUCCAGAGGCAGAGGCACCAGAUGUAGAAGAGAAGAUUGGUAGUAAAGGGCAGGAAGGAACAAGCAACUGUUUGAGAAUCUGGGGAACAGGAAGACAGGUCCAUCUGGGUUUUUCUGUGAGGAUGUAAAGAUUUUAUUAUGUUUGUUGACUAGGAAGAGGGAACCAGUGCAAAAGAAAUCAUCAAAUACACAGUAAAGAGUAGAAAGAACUGAAUGGAGCAAGGUCCUAGAGCAACCAGGGAAAAGCGUGUUUUCCUGAAGGAGCCUCAGAUACUGCUGGAGAAGCAGGGAGAAUAGAAUAGAUCAGAAGAUGUGCAGGACAAUUCUGAGGCAAAGAAGGAGGAGUCAAAGAAGCUCGUAUUUUCUUUUUCCUACUUUGCUAUUCAUCUUUCAACCUGGUUUGUGUUUGGGGCUAUAAAAAAAUAAUUAUGUAAUGACAUAUCAACAAUUUCUUUUAUACUUUUGUUUUUCUUAGCAUGAAAAUUCAUUCAUCUUACAUGGCCCUGAUUCUUUCAAAAAAUUUGAAGAGCAAAACUUUGUGUUAAGUUUAGAUUAUAGGAUCAAGAUGUAUUGCUUGAGAACAGAAAAGUUGAGAAGGUUUUGUUGCAGUAGAUGUAGAGAACGUGAGGGGGUUUGUAAAGAAUGGGUAUGAGGAUAAUUGUGCAACAGGGAGGACAAAUCUAAAAUCGAAUAACACACUUCAGGAGCAGAAAGGGAAAGAGAGGUUGGUGCCGUCUUCCCCAGGCUGGGCUUGGCAAGGAGAAUGCAGCAGCGGAUGUCAGGUGAAGCAAGGGUACCCAUGCCGGCAUCCCUGCGGUGACUGGUCACCAGGCUCCAUCUGGGCAGAGCAGCCCUGAAGUUGGAAGGGCAGCUGGGCCAUGAGAAUAGGAGGGACCAAUCAAUGGGAGACUGCGUUGAAGAGGAAGAGCAAGCCCAGGGGUGACAGGUGGAGAAGAGCAGAAGGAUGGAGCCUGAAUCAGGGUCUGGGGCUUGGAGACAUCAGUGAGAUGCUAGAGUGGGGAAUGUUAGGGAGACAGUGAGUCAUUACAUUUGAGGAUGAUGUGGAAAAGCCAGGGUGAUAUCACAGAUGCUGAAAAGCCUACAAACGCUGGCAGAGGAGCAAGUGGACUGGGGAACUGAGCUGGGUACCAAAGGCAGCAAUGGAAGGCAAUCAGUACACAGCAGCCUCAAGUUUGGGAAGAAGUCGCACUGUCACUGCGUACACCUGCUCAGCCGUACACGGUGCCACAGAGGAAGUGGAGCGAGCACGUGCUGUAAACUUCAGAAGGAUCCAGAGGUUCCACAGGGGCCUCGGGGACUACGGACUCUUCAGAGGCAUCGGUAACCAUCUCCUGGAAGACGCUACUCAAUCAUCGUUUGUGGGUUUAUGGUGAGACUUAGCUUGUUUGUUUCUACCUACAAACCUGUGAUGUGUGGCUGGUAGUAAAGGAAACUGAUUAGCCUAUGUGGCUGGCAUAAUAAGACUGCAUCUGGCAUGGUCACAUCUCCUGUGAUUAAGCACAGUGAGAAGUUAAUGGUACACAGAGCCAUAGCCAAAAGCCGGCUGUACACAUGAUGGGGCAAGUUAUUAUAAAAUUCACCUUGUAUGGCUGUUCUUCAAAAAAUUUAAACAUAGCAUUACUAGGACUUCCCUGGUGGAGCAGUGGUUGGGAAUCUGCCUGCCAACGCAGGGGACACAGGUUCGAGCCCUGGUCCGGGAAGAUCCCACAUGCCGCGGAACAACUAAGCCAGUGGGCCACAACUACUGAGCCCACGUGUAACAACUACUGAAGCCUGCGCGCCUAGAGCCCGUGCUCCGCAGCAAGAGAAGCGACCGCGAUGAGAAGCCUGCACACCACAAUGAAGAGUAGCCCCCCUGCUCGCCGCAACUAGAGAAAGCCCACGUGCAACAACAAAAGCCCAACGCAGCCAUAAAUUAAUUAAUUAAAAAAUAAAUAAAAGACAAGGUUCUUGGCAAAAAAAAAACCAUAGCUUUACCAUAUGAUCCAGCAUUUCCGUUUCUGGUUAUAUGCCCAAAAGAAUUGAAAGCAGAGUCUUAAAGAGAUAUAUAUCCCCAUGUUCAUAGCAGCAUUAUUCACAAUAGUCAAAAGGUGGAAACAACACACAUGUCAAUUGAUGGAUAAAUGGAUAAACAAAAUAUGGUUUAUACAGUGGAAAAUUAUUUGGCAUCGGAAAGGAAUGGCAUUCUGACACGUGCUGUAACAUGGAUGAACCUUGAAGGCAUUGUCUAGAUGAAAUAAGCCAAUCACAAAAGGACAGCUCUCAUAUGAUUCCACUUAUAUGAGGUGUCCAGAGUAGUCAAAUUUGUAGACACAGAAGUAGAAGGAUGGUUGCCAGGAGAAGGGGAGUUAGUGUUUAACAGGUGCAGAGUUUCAGUUUGGGAAGAUGGAAAGUUCUGGAGAGGAUGGAGGUGGUGGUUGUACAACAGUGUGAGUGCACUUUACGUCCCUGAACUGGACACAUAAAGUUUAAAUGGUAAAUUUUAUGUAUAACCACAAUUUUAUAAAAAUGUAGUAAGUUAUUCUCAAUGUAUAAAUGAUAAAUUUUACAUAUGUUUUAUCACAGUAAAGGUAAAACCAACUUAGACCCUGACUUUGAGUUACUGAGGGGUUUUUGUCCCCUUUUUUUUUCAGUUGUGCGUUGAAUUCUCAGUGAGAAAAAAAUCAAGAAGAGCAGGAUCUAUGUAUCGUUUUUAAAUCUUUACAAGAAUAUAUAACCGUGUACGGGUGUAUGUGUGUGUGUCCACAAAUGCAAAUACAUGCUUCAUUCUGCUUCCAAACAGCAAAUUUGAGCUGCCAGUAAACUCCCUUCCUUAAAAGGAACUCACCUUAUGUUAACUCUUUAUAGCAGGGAGGUAUAACCAGAGAAAACUGUUCUAACGCCACCCAUUUUAUUCAUUUCUUCUCCUCUUUCUCUUUGGGUCAGAAAAGCUAACGUACGCAAGAAGUCUCCUAAAGCCAUGACACUAUAUAAGUGAAAGGCACCAAACGAUGGGUGCUGGUCUUCCAGCCUCCCCACUGGGAUCAAGGCCUGAUGCCCCCCCAAGACAGGCGAAAGAGGACUGGGGCAGAGGCAGCAGCCUCAUCCUUUCUUCUAUUCGGAAAAUCACUUUGAAAAGGAAACCUUCAUUUAAACUAACACCUUUUAAUCACUUUAGUAGUCUUUUCUCUUUUUCCUGCUCUGGAUCUUAGAUGUCCCUGCACAGCCCUGGUCAGAGUGACAUCCCACUACAUCCUAAGAACAGGCCAACUCUGCACAUGAGGCAGCAGUGCAGUCACAUCAUCCUCGACAACUCUGCAGAGACGUAGCUUCUGGCCCCAGCUGCUCCUUGUAGCUUUGCUGCACCCACGCACAGCUUGGGGAAAGCCAGUGUCCUUUGGGGGCUGUAAAGUAGGCAUGAUGGGCCAGCUGACCCAGGGCUCCUUUCCAUCACCAAAACUACCUGUUUCCCGAGCCUGGAAUGCACUCACACCCCUCUGUAACCUGUCUGCUCCUCUGUUAGAGUCUUGACCACAUUUCCUGGGUGACAGCAACACGUGUUUUUAUUUUAUGUUGCACUCAGCAUUCCAAGGAAAGACAAGGGAUGAAGGGAAGUAGAUAUUGAUUUAAAUUUCAGCUAAAUCUUCAGUUGGUUGAAGGGUUUCCCUCAGCAAGCCAUGACUUUCAUAAGGAUUGCUAGCAAAUCUCAUACAUUCUCAAUUGACCACUUGUUUGGGGAUGUUUGGGUGUGUGUGUUUUGGGAAGUGUGUGUGCAUUGUAGGCAGGGGGAGAAUUCCUCACAGCCCUGCUCUCAGAAGAACUGAACCCCUGUGGACAGGGUCAAGUUUUCAUGUGUUAUCUAUAUACAUGUGUCCUAACAGGAUGUGCUGGUGCCUCUUUUUCCAAGGGGGUUACAUAAGCAUAAGCAGCAGAGGCUAUGGUGCAAGAUGUGGAAAUACAGGUGUUUAGGACACAUUAGACAGGCAGAGCCCUGGAGAGCACAACAGUGAGAAGGUGACUGCAGCAGAACGUCUGAGUAGAAUUAGCUGAGCACAGAUAAUGUCUGUGGCCCCUUUGGUGCUGUUCAACACUGGAGUGGGUCACUGGCUGUCUUUAUCGUAGUUUAAAAUGGUACCCUGUGUCUGUUAUGGACUGAAUGUGUGUGUCCCCACCAAAAUUCAUAUGUGGAAACCCCUAAUCCCAAUGCAGUGAUAUUAGGUGGGGUCUUUGGGAGGCAAUUAGGAUUAGAUGAGUUUGUGAGGGUGGAGCCCUCGUGAAUGUGAUUAGUGCCCUUAUAAGGGUUCCGAGAGAGUUUGCUUCCUCUCUCUGCUCUCUGCCAUGUAAGGGCACAGAGAGGGGUCCGCACUAUGCAGCCUGGAAGAGGACCCCCACCAGAACCCCACUCUGCUGGCACCUGACCUCAGGCUUCCAGCCUCCAGAAGUAUGAGAAGUAACUAUCUGUUGUUAGAAGCCACCCAGUCUGUGGUGUUCUCUGAAAGCAGCCCAGUGGACUAAGAUAGUGUCCAUGGCAGUUAAGAGGCUCUGAAGGUCACUGACAGGACCACUUCUACCCGAUGUAGAAUGCAGCUUGCUUUGAGGUGCCCGUCCCUGUCAUAUCACAGGAACUACAUAAAAUCUCCUCUGUACAUGAUCUUUAAAAAAAACAACCCUUUUUUCUGAUUUUCAACUUCAUUAUUUUGGCUGCGUUGGGUCUUCAUUGCAGUGUGUGGGCUUCUCAUUGCGGUGGCUUCUCUUGUUGCGGAGCAUGGUCUCUAGGCGCACGGGCUUCAGUAGUUGUGGCAUUUGGGCUCAGUAGUUGUGGCUCAUGGGCUCUAGAGCGUAGGCUCAGUAGUUGUGGCGCACGGGCUUAGUUGUUCUGUGGUGUGUGGGAUCUUCCCGGACCAGGGGUUGAACCCAUGUCGCCUGUGUUGGCAGAUGGAUCUUCAACCACGGCACCACCAGGGAAGUCCCUGAUUUUCACCUUCUUUGGGUUUUACUGAAAUUAAUGUUGGGAUUAAAUUUGUUUUAGGUUUUUCUUCUCAUUCUGAAAUGAUCGAUAGUAAUGCUGAAAGUGAAUUCAUUCGUUUACUUUUCCCUUUUGGAAGUCAUCAGAGAAGGGAAUUACUUAAUUUCAGCCGUUAAGAAGAUAAUUUGAUUCACUAAGGAUGUGUGUACUUUAUAUGUUAUACAUCAGGUUUAAAAAAAGAAAUUCUAGAUACAUCAGCUUUGGAAUUCAUUCAUUUGGAUUAAAUAUAAAUUAUUUAAAUAAAUUAAAUAUAGCACACUCAGUGAAGAAUGCCGGAUGUAGAGGGAGGCCAGGCUUCAGCCCUGAUCGGGUUCAGGAUACUGCACAGGGCCCCCAGCUCUCCGCUUCCGGCCCAUUCCCAGUGGCGCUUACCCUCAGCACCUGGGACGUCCAGCCGUGUGCCGGCAUUGCUCCUUUCUUAGCUGAUCCAGGUUGUCUGUUAAUGCCAUCCCAUCAUUGCAUUUCUUCAGUCCUGCAUUCCAUGGGCGUUAGGGAAAAGAUGACUUACACCAGCACAUUAUUACUGCCGCAGGAAGAUGCAAGCCGGAAGAAGAACAGGGUUGUGCCUUCCUGGCUCUGCCUAGACUGGUGCUUUGCUUCAGACUGAGAUGUAGAGAAGCAGCAAGGAUGUGGGACAGGAAGCCAGGAUGGAAGGCAAAGUGUCUACCGGUCCCUUUACAACACCAUGGAUUGCCAAACUAUGAAGUCUGUCCAUACUUAAAUGUCCUUUUUUUUUUUGCGGGGGUGUGGUUUUGAUAGACGGAGAGUGUUAGAGAUCCACUUUUUUUUAAUAGUUAGUUAGUUGCGCCAUGUGAGCUCUUAGUGGCGGCAUGCAUGUGGGAUCUAGUUCCCUGACCAGGGAUCAAACCCGGGCCCCCUGCAUUGGGAGCACAGAGUCUUAACCACUGCGCCACCAGGGCAGUCCCUAAAUGUCCAUUUAAGGAGCAUCAGUACAAAUGAUUUUUGUUUUUCAUUCCACACACACUCUUCUGCAGAAAAAAAAGAAUUUACUUUUAGAAGCUUGGUUUUUCAAAGAAGCUGUGUUUCGAAAUCUCGAGCAAUGAUUUUUAAGAACCAUAGGAGAGUUCUACAUCCAAGUGUUACUCUUCAAAUUAUUUGCCUUGAAGGGCCUGUUUACUCCAGUAAGCUUCCUUUUCAGAAUCGCCUUCAGUUUUACUUUCUGAAGGCACAUAAGAAAAUUGAGUGGUAUCUUGGCCUCUUUCUUCAUUCUUGACUCUGAAUCACUUUUAAUUGUUUCCAAAAGGUAAAUCUACCCUCAAAGGAUAAAACUUUGCCAACAAAGACAGUAUGCAAAAGAAUGUAGAGUUAUUCAAUAAAUAUUGAGCACCUUCUGUUGCCAAGUGUUCUGCUAGACACCAGGGAUAAAAGAUGGACAGACACUUUCAGUCCUUGCUGUCAUGCUGCUGAUCAUCUUAGGGGAAGACAGACUCUCUCAAAAACAAUUAACUACACAGUGAAAAGUGGUGAUGUGUGUAGGUCUAGCAGGAGCCCCGGGAGAGGAGUGGGCCUCAGAAGAAUUUCGAACAAAGAUACCAUCCAGGAAUGCCUUAUCAUCUCCUAAAAUGACAGUCGUAAGGAAGGUGUGAGGUCUACUGUGUGUCUGGAAAACUGUCUUCAUUUCCUGAUUUUCACUUCUCAUCUCUCUACAAACGCACUUAACCUGGCGUAUUUGCAAUAAUAGGAAACAGACACUGCUACCAUGUGAUAACCUGUCCUUUAGCCCCACAGACUGAUCAAAGAAGAUAAGUUAUAGCAUCUUAUGGCUCUAGUUAGAUUUUAUAUUUUUGUUAGUCAUUUAAAUAACCUGGUGCCAUAAGGACAUAUUUGAUAGCUGUGGCUAAAAUGAUUGAAGAAAAUACUUAAUAAACUAUUCCUCAAGUCAGAACAGUAGGACGGAAACAGCAUGCCGUAGCAAGACAACACAGGAGUGUGGGCCUAGAGGUAAAUUAAGCAAGCAUCCCUCACUCGGAUGAUAAUUGUGUUGGCACCAGAGCGCUUGUGUAUCACUGAAUCAUGCUCUUAAAGAGGCAGUUGGUACUUAAAAAGAAAUCAUCUUGGAGAACAGGACAAGGCUUUUCUGGUCGGGUGAUUUUUUUCCAAGCAAGGACAUGCUUUACUAGGAAAACUUCUUUCUGAGCUCCUUAAUAAUCAACUGUGCCAUUUAAGGAAAGCCAUAAGAAGGUAUAUUCACUAGCAGAGAAAUGUAAAGUUGAAAAAUUUCUAAACUCAGCUGUGAUUUUUGUUUUCUGCCCAAAUUAACAUUUCAGUAGUGGUCACACCAGUCAAGCGCACAGCUCUCUAAAUGCGCAAAAAAAUGGAGAUCGCGGUGGUCCUCCUUCAGUCAUCAAAUUAGCACUUUUCCAUAUUUCUCCUUCAUGUUGCCAUUCUCAAGUUUUACACACAUUUAUGGCAUUUACACAGUAGGGGAUAUUUAAGAUAUUUUCAAAGAGCCAACAACUCUAAACAAAAUGAGUGCUACUGAAAUGUGUCCUUUACCGCAUUAAAGAAGCAUAUUCCUCUGUACAGCCCUGCUUAUAUGUAACUAUGUGAUGGGAAGCUUGGGAAAAUAUACAGGAGGUUUCAGGCAUAAUCCCUCUGCCUCUGUACCAAUGGAGAUAAAAUCGUAUUCUCCCACUCUUAGAAAUCUGAGCUUCAUAUUCACCAAACCUUUGAACCACUGUGAAAUAGGUGAUCAGCUGACAUCAUCCUUGUUUUCAAGAUGAAGAUGGACGCCUCAUUUUCAAAGGAAGUCCGUCAGAUCACAGCAUAAGCAAACGCCCUUUGGUGCUUUAGCCCUCAGGCACAGAGCAGCCAAGAAUUAUUUCCAAACUGCACUGCUUAGAGUGGAGACUGAAAACUGCCCAGCUAACCUCCUUCCCACUGGUUCCUGAGGAGGAGAGGAAUGGACGACAGACCGCUGAGUGUUCAAUUUGAAAAUCUUGGAUGAGGCUUAGAACCCAGCAGAGGCUAACAGAUAGUAGCAUUUGCAGCACAAAAGAAGCCAUUGCAGAGAUUUUCUUAGUAUUCCACAGGCCCUGUCCUCCCAAUCCAUCACUACCACCGGCACUUAACCAUGUACAACAACCACCAUUCUGAUUAUGCUCACAGCCCCUGUGGGUCAGGAAUUCUGAUGCUGUGCAGUGGAAGUGGCUUGUCUGAUCCAUGAUGUCGGCCUCAACUGGGAGACUAAAGCUGCUGGGGAUGGCACAGUUGGCUGGAGUUGGAGUCACCUGGCGGCUUCUUCUCACAGGUCUGGUGCCUAGGCUGGGACCAGCCAUGGCCCUUAAACAGAACAGCUACACGUGGCCAGGCUCCCUGACAUCAUGGCAGCCUCAGACUUCGUACAUUGCGCUCAGAACUGCAGAGGACGGUGCUCCAGAGGACAGGACACAACCUUGCCUCCAAAUUCACAUAGCCUCACUUCUGCCAGAUUCCACUGGUCAAAGCAGUCAUAAGUUCAGAUUCAAGGGGUGGGGACAUAGCCCCCCACCACCACCAAUUCUCAAUGGUAGGAGUGUCACAAAAUUGGUGGCGGUAUUUUAAAACAACCCCAGGCCCCUUCUCCUUAGAAUUGCAACAGCCCUUCGUCCUGGAAUCCUCAGAAGAAUUAUGUUAUAAUUCGAUUAUGAUUGGAUUCUAAUUAUGUUCUCAGACUUUGCUCCCCACCAUCCAGUUCAAGGACGAGGGCUUGGGGCUCCACCUACGUCUCAUUACCUCUGAAAUCACCGGGUCAGUCAGGAAAGAGAAGGGUGCUGGGGCAUAUGGAAAACAUUCACCUGGUGGGACCCGGGGCUGUCUGGGAAGCUUGUACGUGUUAAGGGACAGCUGUUAGUUCCAGCUGAAGGUAGGAAUGAAGUCUUUGUAUUUUCAGAUCUUCCCAUUUUAAUGUGAAACUGGAUUUUGAAAUGUUGGUGCACGUUGUUUUAAACACAUGCUGUGGCCCACCAAGCACAUUUACUGGCUGCAUCAGAUUUUUGACCUGGAGCCUCCAAGGGUCCAGGCUUGUGCUCCUGUCUGUGCUGGCUCUGAACCCCUCUCAUGAAGGCCCAGGACUCAUGGAACAAGGCAAUAUUGAAGAUUGCACAUUUGUGUUGACACGCAGAAGUCUCCACACUGGGUUCUGGGAUGCCCCUCCUUCAGAUACUACGAACUUUGCAUAGUAGUUGCAGAUCCUCUAGCUGAGAAUCUAGGUUUUUCUCAGUACGUGGAAGGCAUCCUUCUCUAUCUGCAGUCAGCGGUACAUGGCCGCAUCCUAGUGCAUUAAUUAUAUGCGUGAUAUACGUAAGCCCCGUUGGCUAAGGAGCGGACCUUUAACGCUUAGCUGGAUAAAACUAAGGAGGAGGAUUGGCUUGUAGUUUGUAUUCUCAGCUCUUCUCAGUAUUUGUUAGAAUUUAAACUUGUCCUAAGCAUGAUAUCUGUUUGAAAUAGAGGCAGGAAAAAUACAUAUUUAUGUAUAUGUACUUCAGUUUAGUAUUUGAGACCUUACAAUUACCAAUUAUUACUAUAAAGACAAAAUUAAAAGUAUAGGAAAAUAGAAAGACCAAGAAGAGAUCUAAGGAAUCUCAAGCUAAAGCUUUGUUUUUCUUUCAGCCUUCCUUGAACUAAUCAUUGGCUGAGUUUAUAACUAACCCCCUCCCACCAAGAAGAAAUGUCCUAGUGGCACCGGCCAAACAGGAUGAAGCACACUGAAUCCUCUUCAUUUUCGUUUUUGUAACUUAGGUCUUCGUGAAAACUUUCCUGUGCGGUGUAAGUCUCUCGGGUUCUAUUCAUUAUCACCUCUGGGGGAAGCCAGGAGUGGGGAGAGAUGGAUAUAUGCCUCAUUUUAACCACAGUAAUUGAUUUUAAAGGUGACACUAUCCUUAGUACCUUAGAUGCCCUGAAAGGGGUGAUAUUAGUUGUUUUUCUCUUGGUGGUGGUGAAAUUUUAAUGAUUUUUUUCAAUAUGCGGUAGAGCUUUCAUUCUUCACGGUAAAGAUGCAUGGUAAGAUCUAAACACAGGCAGCUGCUUGUGGGACACUCUUUAUUUCUCCUUUGUCCUACCUUUAAAAAACAAAAGAGAGAGAGAGAGAAAGAGAAAUCAAGAAUAUUUCCAGAGAAUCUCUUCUGGAAAACCUCAGGUCUGACAGUAGAGAAGUGAGGGGGAGGGGCUUUGUCCAGAUGGUGUCCUGGGUCACGGUUCUCUUCUUACAGAACCCUGGAAGUGGUCACCCGGCCUUCCCCCGUGGGCCCCACCUUGGAAUAGGUCUUUCAGUCUGUAGCUUCGCAUAUCACUUCACAGGCCUCCCUACUCUGCAGCACCCAGGCCUGCCAGGAUCUGCCCGCCACCUCUAGGACAACUUCCUGUUGAAAGAGACUCGGGAAGCAGGCUGCUGUGUCUUGAAAGCUGGUUCGUUACUUUAAGAUAUACCUCUUCAUCAGAUGAAUUUCUCUUUUGCGUACAUAUUUAAACAUGAGCCGCGCACUCAGAAAAACUAACCAUAGAAGGUGACUAGCCCAUAAUAAGCACUCAGUGAAGAGUAAAUUUAUAAAUUAAAAAAAGCUUAAAAUAUGGCAUGAUAUAUUAUUGAAGGAAAGGAUUGCAAUUAUAAACAUCACAUUUAACUCUCUAAAGUGCAGCGCCUGUGAUGCAGCUAGUUGUUCUUGUUCUGUGACUGAUUCAAACUUGUGACACAUUAGCCCGGCACAUCUUGGGUACGUACCUGCAUGUGCUGCCACGCAGGCUGGGACUUAGGGCAGCUCGAGGAGUAGCCUAAGAGGAUCUUGGAGACAGAAGGUUCCAGUUCCUUGAGCAAUGCCCAGAGCAUGGCUCCAUGUAGAGCGUGUGACAGCGUUGCUACAUCUAAUUGCUGUAUCAUAUUUAUAAGCGUGUGAUGGCACAGAGCACAAGAAAUUUCAUUAUGUCUCUGGCAAAUUCAUAUUGAAAGGAAGGACAGAUGGUUGAAAACAGCCAUAAAAUAUUCUAUUACAUGUCUGAAAAUCAUUAGACAGUAGUUAAAGAGAUGUUAUUAAUGGAUCAGAUUCACUUGGGGAGUCAUGUUUCUGUAAUGCACAUUAAAGCAAUGAUGCUUCUGGUGGUAUUUUUAAUGUAAUCAGGGCCAAAGACAAACAUGUCUUCCUGUGUAAUUAGAAAAUGGAUUUAUCGACAGUUAAGGAGCUGCUGUGCAGCUCAGCUCUCCAUCAUCUGGGAGGUUAUUGUUUUAAUCUCCUACCACCAAGGAGGAAAGCGUAACAGUGCUACAGCCCUGGAGGUCACAGAAACAAUGCCAUGUUGUUUUAUUGAUAUAUUCUGAGGAGAUGGGGAAGAGGUCCAAUUAUUAUUUCUGAAAAUCAUCAAAAGCCCCUUUUUAAAAACCCAUAGAUAACUAACCAAUUUGUGAACUAUGAAUGAAUAAUUUGAACCCCCCGAGUGCUUUAACAUGUCCUUUAGAAUUAAUACAAACAUCAGCAUUUUGACUCUGUGAGCGUGAGAAUGAUUUUGGUGUCCGUUUUAUGGCUGAGUGACAAACAGCAUAUCUGUAAGAUGUUGGGGAGCCCUUUAGGCCAGGUGUAGCCACGUGAUGUGGUCCCCACUCUGCAGAGCAGAACAUGCAGCCCUGUGGGUCCAUAUGUCAGAAUCACAGGUUGUUCAGUGCUUGGGGAGUGAGGCUUUCCUUAGGGCAUCUCACAUUGCAAAACAGGAUGGGGCAGUGAAUGAAUCCAGCAACAAAACAAAAGGACUGGAGGAGUUCAAAGAGCUGGGAUCGUUGUUCUCACGGGUCCAGGGCCUCCUGCCACUCAGAGUUGUCUGCAAAUGCUCUCUCCUCCGCUCUUUCUUUUCCUGGGCGUUCUGAACUUGCUGCCCUUCAGACUAUGCUCUUCCCUACAGGAGCAGCGUGAGUUUCAGCCUGCUUUCCCAGAACAUGGGAGAGCCUGGGUUUGUAGCACGUUUUCACUUGUUCCCUUUUACAUCAGCUGCCGACCUGUGGCUUCCAGGUAGGCCUGUAAUCACAUAGUUGGUGGGUCGCCAGAACCCCUUGGGGAGUGGGCAGGAGUUCCUUCAUGCAGCCCGUAAGCUCACGCUGUGUGGAUCAGGAGUGCCUCUCCUGUAGCAUUCGACCUGGAGCUACAGAUGCUGGCAGCAGUCCUGGCAAUGUCCCCACAUGGCUGCGUGGGCCUCACAGGUAGAUUUGUGCACUUGUUCCAGUGGCAUGGCGAUUUUUGUGUCCUGGACUAGGAACUGAUAACCUCUAAGUAGGUUUCCCCCCAUGUUACUGUAAGGAAAGGACCCGCAGCUCUCUUCUUUUUGGUGAUGCAGCAGAAUGAGGGUAGAAUUAUAAAUGAAGAAUGGAAGUGGUAUCAGUUGAACUCACAUGCAAUUGUGACCACUUAAUCACUUGAGAUAAUUUUUAAUUACUUAUGCAAAUAUAUGUGAGAUUGAAUCCAGAUGUCAAAUAAAUAUUUAGUUAUAAAAAAAAAAAAUCAUCUCCCAACAAAGUAAAGCCCAGGACCACGUGGCUUCUCUGGUGAAUUUUACCAAACAUUUAAAGAAGAAUUAACACCAGUCCUUCUCAAACUCUUCCCAAAAUUUGAAGAAGACAGAACACUCCCAAACUCAUUUUAUAA